AACAUAAGUAACCUUGUAAGCUAGCAAACCCGUAUUUCCCUCUAAUUAUUUCGCCACUUUGGUCCUAUAUCCCAUUCUGUGCCAACGUUGAGUUAAAGUGCCUAAAAUAAACGAAGAUUAACUUAACAACAUCUUACCGUCCAAAGUAAAAACACAUUAUACAAAGUUAAAUUACUCCAAAAAGCCGCCUCGGUCCGCAAGCGUCAGCGAAAACAUUAGAUUUAUACGCACAGUUUAUGAUUAUGAGGUUCGAGUAUUUAAUGGCAACGAAUUCUAAUAACCACGAACAAAACACAGGCAAAAAAAACAUAUCAGCCGCAUUUUAUCAGGAAAUUGCUGAAGAGCUAUUACGCAGACAGUAGCGUCUAUACGUAAAAUUAGGUUGCGCUGCUCGAGUCGUCUAGGGCGGCGGCCGGCCCUAUCUAGGGGGUGGUCGGGUGUAGUAUCGUAGCAACGGGCAGCAUCCCUGGCAGUAUGGUGUCGCGCCUCGCCCUCGCCGCCCGUUUCGCAUGCUCGCAUGCCACGUGCCGAUUCGUAGUGUUGUGACGCUCAUCGACAAAAUGUUCAUGUUAUUCAUUUUGCUCACUGUGUAUCUAAUAACGCUAUGCCACGGUUGAUGCGUGCUGGAUUUCGGUUAAUCUGUGAGAUAAGCUUUUGCGAAUUUAGAUUGCUUUUUGCGGUGGAGAUUCUUUUACGGUCGUAAAUAAGAAUCUCAAAUGAGCUUCAGAUAUCUCGAGUAUCGCGACGACAGCACGCCCGCGACUAACCAAGAAAACAGUGUACCUACUAACAAGAAACAGGACCUUUAUCGAUCCUUCUUAAUACUUAAUAGAAGCCGUUAGUUUAGAAAUGUCAUAAAUAAUUCAAAAUUCGUCAAAGGCUUCCAGGUUAAUAUUUGAUCCGACAAAGUUUCUGUUUCCAAGUGUGGCCCUUGGACUAACUGAGUGAAAAUUAAUAUUACAGUGUUUUAACUUGUGAUGCGUGGAUUAUGCGCGGGACUGAGUGUGUCGUGUUUGUGGUAAGUAUUGAUACUCCUUCAAUGCGGUUGAACCCAUCUGCGGCAAAUUCCAUUCAUGAGCGUGAUUUACC